UACGUAGGGGGCUAGCGUUGUCCGGAAUUAUUGGGCGUAAAGCGCGUGUAGGCGGCUUGGCAAGUCGGGUGUGAAAGCCCUCAGCUCAACUGAGGAAGUGCGCCCGAAACUGCUGAGCUCGAGUGCCGGAGAGGAUGGCGGAAUUCCCCAAGUAGAGGUGAAAUUCGUAGAUAUGGGGAGGAACACCGGUGGCGAAGGCGGCCAUCUGGACGGUGACUGACGCUGAGACGCGAAAGCGUGGGGAGCAAACAGG
rnacentral:rRNA from 1 species